UACAGAGGGUGCAAGCGUUGUUCGGAAUUACUGGGCGUAAAGCGCGUGUAGGCGGCGUCGUUAGUCGGAUGUAAAAGCCCUCGGCUCAACCGAGGAAGUGCAUCCGAUACUGCGAUGCUUGAGUGUUGGAGGGGGUGGCGGAAUUCCCGGUGUAGAGGUGAAAUUCGUAGAUAUCGGAGGAACACCUGUGGCGAAGGCGGCACC
rnacentral:rRNA from 1 species